UGCUUAACACAUGCAAGUCGAACGGAAAGGCCCUGCUUUUGUGGGGUGCUCGAGUGGCGAACGGGUGAGUAACACGUGAGUAACCUGCCCUUGACUUUGGGAUAACUUCAGGAAACUGGGGCUAAUACCGGAUAGGAGCUCCUGCUGCAUGGUGGGGGUUGGAAAGUUUCGGCGGUUGGGGAUGGACUCGCGGCUUAUCAGCUUGUUGGUGGGGUAGUGGCUUACCAAGGCUUUGACGGGUAGCCGGCCUGAGAGGGUGACCGGCCACAUUGGGACUGAGAUACGGCCCAGACUCCUACGGGAGGCAGCAGUGGGGAAUAUUGCACAAUGGGCGGAAGCCUGAUGCGGCAACGCCGCGUGCGGGAUGACGGCCUUCGGGUUGUAAACCGCUUUCGCCUGUGACGAAGCGUGAGUGACGGUAAUGGGUAAAGAAGCACCGGCUAACUACGUGCCAGCAGCCGCGGUGAUACGUAGGGUGCGAGCGUUGUCCGGAUUUAUUGGGCGUAAAGGGCUCGUAGGUGGUUGAUCGCGUCGGAAGUGUAAUCUUGGGGCUUAACCCUGAGCGUGCUUUCGAUACGGGUUGACUUGAGGAAGGUAGGGGAGAAUGGAAUUCCUGGUGGAGCGGUGGAAUGCGCAGAUAUCAGGAGGAACACCAGUGGCGAAGGCGGUUCUCUGGGCCUUUCCUGACGCUGAGGAGCGAAAGCGUGGGGAGCGAACAGGCCUAGAUACCCUGGUAGUCCACGCUGUAAACGGUGGGUACUAGGUGUGGGGUCCAUUCCACGGGUUCCGUGCCGUAGCUAACGCUUUAAGUACCCCGCCUGGGGAGUACGGCCGCAAGGCUAAAACUCAAAGGAAUUGACGGGGCCCCGCACAAGCGGCGGAGCAUGCGGAUUAAUUCGAUGCAACGCGUAGAACCUUACCUGGGUUUGACAUGGAUCGGGAGUGCUCAGAGAUGGGUGUGCCUCUUUUGGGGUCGGUUCACAGGUGGUGCAUGGCUGUCGUCAGCUCGUGUCGUGAGAUGUUGGGUUAAGUCCCGCAACGAGCGCAACCCUUGUUCACUGUUGCCAGCACGUUAUGGUGGGGACUCAGUGGAGACCGCCGGGGUCAACUCGGAGGAAGGUGGGGAUGACGUCAAGUCAUCAUGCCCCUUAUGUCCAGGGCUUCACGCAUGCUACAAUGGCUGGUACAGAGAGUGGCGAGCCUGUGAGGGUGAGCGAAUCUCGGAAAGCCGGUCUCAGUUCGGAUUGGGGUCUGCAACUCGACCUCAUGAAGUCGGAGUCGCUAGUAAUCGCAGAUCAGCAACGCUGCGGUGAAUACGUUCCCGGGGCUUGUACACACCGCCCGUCAAGUCAUGAAAGUUGGUAACACCCGAAGCCGGUGGCCUAACCGUUGUGGGGGAGCCGUCGAAGGUGGGACUGGUGAUUAGGACUAAGAC
rnacentral:rRNA from 1 species